rnacentral:rRNA from 1 species
AAUAAGCGGAGGAAAAGAAACUAACAAGGAUUCCCCUAGUAACUGCGAGUGAAGCGGGAAAAGCUCAAAUUUAAAAUCUGGCAGCCUUUGGUUGUCCGAGUUGUAACCUAGAGAAGUGCUAUCCGUGUUGGACCGUGUUUAAGUCUCCUGGAAUGGAGCGUCAUAGAGGGUGAGAAUCCCGUCUUUGACAUGGACUACCAAUGCAUUGUGAUACGCUCUCAAAGAGUCGAGUUGUUUGGGAAUGCAGCUCAAAAUGGGUGGUAAAUUCCAUCUAAAGCUAAAUAUUGGCGAGAGACCGAUAGCGAACAAGUACCGUGAGGGAAAGAUGAAAAGAACUUUGGAAAGAGAGUUAAACAGUACGUGAAAUUGCUGAAAGGGAAACGCUUGAAGUCAGUCGCGUUGGCCAGGAAUCAACCUUGCUUCUGCUGGGUGUACUUUCUGGUUGACGGGUCAGCAUCAAUUUUGACUGUUGGAAAAAGUUCAGAGGAAUGUGGCAUCUUCGGAUGUGUUAUAGCCUCGGUUCGCAUACAACAGUUGGGAUUGAGGAGCUCAGCACGCCGCAAGGCCGGGUUUCGACCACGUACGUGCUUAGGAUGCUGGCAUAAUGGCUUUAAUCGACCCGUCUUGAAACACGGACCAAGGAGUCUAACAUGCCUGCGAGUGUUUGGGUGGAAAACCCGAGCGCGUAAUGAAAGUGAAAGUUGAGAUCCCUGUCGCGGGGAGCAUCGACGCCCGGACCAGACCUCUUGUGACGGUUCCGCGGUAGAGCAUGUAUGUUGGGACCCGAAAGAUGGUGAACUAUGCCUGAAUAGGGUGAAGCCAGAGGAAACUCUGGUGGAGGCUCGUAGCGAUUCUGACGUGCAAAUCGAUCGUCAAAUUUGGGUAUAGGGGCGAAAGACUAAU